UGGAUUGAUGAUGACCACUGGUGGCAUAUGAGUCGUAUGUGAUGAAUACAUGUCUGGAACUCUUGAGGUCCAA